rnacentral:snRNA from 1 species
CAAAGCAUUGCGAUGGUCCCUG